rnacentral:lncRNA from 1 species
GCCACUCUUUGAAUGUUUCUGGCUUGGAAACACUGCUGUCCCGUAGCAAGGAGAGCCUGGAAGAAAAUGAGUCCCUUACAGGGACAAAAGGAAGUAUUUUGAGUGCUCAAAUCCUGUUCCAAUUUGUGUCCCUCUGAAGCCUGAGGAACUGCCCUGCCGCUCGGUGGCGUGCAGUUCAGAUUUGCUGGACCUAGGACCACAUUUGUGGUUUACAAUGGCUGCUUAGUGCUGCUCCACACUUGUCUUUAUAUCCCUCUGAAGAAGGACUCAUUAAGCUACUAUACAGAUGUCCAAUUACUCCAGCACCAUUUGUUGAAGAAGACUAUCUUUCCCCCAUUGAACUGCUUUUGCACCUUUGUCAAAAACAGAUGGGAAGAGUCGUGAAAAAAAAAAGAGGAGACAGAAACCUCUGCUAUUAAAAAUAUCUUCCUCUCCUAACCAAAAACAAAGCUGUGUGCAUAUAUGUAUAUGUGUGUGAGAGAGACAGUGCCUGCAUUCCAGCCUGCCUGCCAGGGACACAGGAAGACUGUAUUUCUCACUCUCCUUUGCAAGUAGAAUGGACCAUAUGACUAGUCCUGACCAGUAGACAAUAAGCAGAAGGGACACAAGUAGAAGCACAGAAGAAUUUCUAUUGCUCACACUUUGCGGAUCACUUCCCUACGGUGCCUAGACACCCAGGGUUCUGUGUUGGACACCAUGAAGAACACAGCAGUGGAUAACACAGCCUUGCCCUUGGGAUUUCACAGGCAGUCCAAGAACAAAAGCCAUGAGAGCCUCACAGAGGCUCAUGUAAAAGCAUCAGAGCAUCUUGUAAAAGCAGAGAAGGGAGAGACUUCUUCCCUAUGGGGAAGAGAAGAGAGUCUUCAGGGAAGAGGGAGCCCUGGAGGAGGUCACGAAUGAUAAGAAGAGCUUUGUGUUCUCUACCCUGAGGAAGUCCCUCCUCCACUUCUGAGAAGCCCAGGUUCUACUUUGACCUUACCAGAGUUACAGGACGGCAGGGUGGGGGAGGGCUGUAGAAUGGGGAAGAGUCUGUACACCUGCUAUGUAUGGCUGUUGGUGGGUUUUUCUUUGUGCCUUUUUUUUCCUGUUUGUUUAAUGCAUAUUUUUUCCUCCUGCCUUCAGGACACAGUGACCUAUAUUUCAGUUUUGGCAAGGGACAAUGCCAGAGUGUGGGAAGGAAGAGCCCUGGGCAGAGAUAGUUAAACUUUGGCAGGCUAAUGUUUGAUGCUGCUUCAUUGCCUUCUUACUUUUAAAUAUAAGAACCACACCAUCCAGAGAAGGAACAAAGACAGGUGACCUCUCAAGACCCUUUUCAACUACUCUGACUCUGAAGUACCCAGGAAUAUAUUUUUUUAAAUGCAUGUAAACACUAGAUGCAUAGGACCCCCUGAGCGUUCCUAAAAUAUGUCUUGGACCCUCUUACUGCUCUGCUUAACAGCUUCAAUGAGUAUCUCCUAUCUAGAGAAAAAACUUCAAAUUCCUCAUGGUGGCAUUCAAGACACUUCAAAUUCUAGCCUCUACCUUGGCACCUGCUACUUUCUUCCGAUCUCCCACCAGACAUACCAAGCCAUAUGUUCCUCCCUGCACAUACUGGCUCUAUCCCCCAUGACAGCUCAGCCAAUUCUCUACCACCUUGCCCCAUCUCUCUAAGUCCCACUCACCUUCCUGCCCCAGUUCAGAA